GAUGAACGCUAGCGGCAGGCUUAAUACAUGCAAGUCGAGGGGCAGCAUGAUUGUAGCAAUACAAUUGAUGGCGACCGGCAAACGGGUGCGGAACACGUACACAACCUCCCAAUAAGUGGGGAAUAGCCCAGAGAAAUUUGGAUUAAUACCCCGUAACAUAACGAUGUGGCAUCACAUUGUUAUUAUAGAUUUUUCGCUUAUUGAUGGGUGUGCGGCUGAUUAGAUAGUUGGCGGGGUAACGGCCCACCAAGUCUACGAUCAGUAGCUGAUGUGAGAGCAUGAUCAGCCACACGGGAACGGAGACAAGGGCCCGACUCCUACGGGAGGCAGCAGUAAGGAAUAUUGGACAAUGGACGCAAGUCUGAUCCGGCCAUGCCGCGUGAAGGAUUAAGGUCCUCUGGAUUGUAAACUUCUUUUAUAAGGGACGAAAAAAGGCUUUUCUAAGUCGUCUGACGGUACCUUAUGAAUAAGCACCGGCUAACUCCGUGCCAGCCGCCGCGGUAAAAC
rnacentral:rRNA from 1 species